UCUAGUGGAGAUGGGGUUUCUCCAUGUUAGCCAGGCUGGUCUUGAGCUCCUGACCUCAGCUGUUAUGCCCGCCUUGGCCUCCCAAAGUGCUGGGAUUACAGGCGUGAGCCACCGCGCCCGGCCCCGGAUGCCUGUUUUUACCCAGACAAGCAAGCAGGCAAGGCCUUUACGAUCGCCCUGCAUGUGAUCUUUUAGUCCCUCGAAAAAUACAGGCAGUCCCUGACUUGUGAUGGAGUUUGUCCUGAGAAACCCAUUGUAAAUUAAAAAUAUCGUAAGUCAAAAAAGCAUUUAUUACACCUAACUGCCAGACAUCGUGGCCUAUCCCAGGCCCCCGAAACGUGCUCAGAACACUUACGUUAGCCUCCGGUAGGGCAAAAUCAUCUAACACAAAGCCUAGUUACACAAGGUGUUGCGGAUCUCCUGUUACUUAUUUAACACUGUACUGAAGUGUGGUUGGUUUCUACUGAAUUCACAUCCUUUUGGGUCGAGAAAUCUUAAGUUGAAUCCUGGUAAGUCAGGGCUGUCCUUAUGGACAAAAUGCAGAGUGGUGGCCCUCGCGUGGCACCUCCCUGUUGGUUCUGAGCAGCGCUCUUUGGCUGUGAGAAACUUUAGUGAGCAUGAAGUUGAGCCCUCACUGUGACGAGGGAUGGGACAGGGUGCAAGGACAGCCACCUGCAACAGUACCUGGAUGAAACACCUUCUGGAUUCGAGGAGUUCCCGUGGGCCAAGCCCUGAGCCAGACGUGUGGAGUCGUCCUUCUUCCUGACGGCCCUGCAUAAUGCCCCUCACCUGAGGCUCCAAGAGCCAUUGGGGCUUGCCCUGGCUGCCAGGCUGGCAUACAGCAGAGCAGGGCCCCAGCCCCAGCCUGCACUGCAGUAGAAACACCUCUGUGUUCUAUGAACGUGGUCUCACCAAGGCGUGGGGCUGCCAGAUCUCUAGGGAGUGGGGAGGGACUGAGGUCUGGGGUCUGGGGUCUGCGCCAAGCCUUCCGAAGCCUGGCUGUACAGUGGGGACAGGCCCUGCCACUCAGGCCCUUGCCAGGAUGGUGCCAGGGCGGGCCAGGCCCCCAGCCCCAGUGCUCCUGGCAGUGCCCAAGGCUGCCGCCUCCACAGUUCUGGCUUCCCUCCCUGGCCUGGUUGGUUGAGCACCUGGCCUCAGGCAUGGCCCAGGCUAGGGGCCUUGUUCCCCACACAGUUCUGAGCUGAAAGCACGCCGUGUCCAGCUCUGCGCAGGGAAGGGGCAGGCUCUCAGCUCAUCCUGCAGCUGUGUCUCACUGCGCCGGCAGUCCAGGGUACGACAUGCCCUUCUCCACCCAGCCAGAGGUGGGUGGCCUUGAGAACUGGAGAGCCAGAGGCUCCUGGCUGUCCCUGAAAAAGGAAAUUGGGCCUCCUGAAUUGGGGGCUCCCUGAGCUCGCCUAACACAGAAGGACCUCCUAGUGCCUGUGAACAGGCAGGUAAACGUCUUUGAGUCCCCACUCCCUCGUCCCUGACACACGGGGAGCAGGGUCGCUCCUGCGCUGGCUGUGGCUGUGGGGAAGGAACAGCUGCCGCAUUCCUGCAUCUGAAGAUCAGGUUGUCACGAGGACUGACUGAGUCACCAGGUGUGAGGGGCUUUGGUGGGUGCCUGGCGUGUCACAGUGGCAAGGCUUUCACACUGGCCAGGUCCCCAGCCGGGAGCAUUUGCCCAGGAGCCUGCGUCGUACAGCUGGUCUGGUCCCACCGAGGAAUAACCACAUGUGGGAGAGGCCCCGGGAGUAGGCGAGGUGGUUGCCUGUUCACGCCCAGAGAGUCGUCAGGGCAAUGGGUGACACAGUGAUGGGGACGGUGGCACCUGCCCUCAGUGCUGCACUGUGUCACUCAGGCAGCCCCCCCCACUCCCCGUGAGCACCGUGCCGGCUUCCCUAAUUUCAUCCUUGUUUUUUGAUGCAGGCGCUGCCCAUGGCUCCGGAGCAGCGGUCCCCGUCGGAGGCUUGGGCUGAGUAAUCAGGUGUGUGAGUAGUAUCCUCCCCCUGGCCCGGUGGCCCCUCGAACACCCUGCUGCCAGCCACAGCUCAGCCACUCUAGGCCUUGGCUUCCCUGUCUGUGCAGUAGGGUUGGUGGCGAUCACAGGCUUCUGCUCUGCACAGGCUGGGAGGGACUGCCACGUGGCUGCACCCCCAGCCCAGGAGCUCAGGAGCAGCCUCGCUGUGUCUGCCGGACCUUUGGGUUCUGAAUAAGAUCUGGUGAAGAGACAUGGAGACCAGUGCUGGGCAGGGGCAGGAAGGCACCCCUGUGGCACCCUGGGGAUCUGUUGGAUCUGGGGGUGCUGCCUGCCAGGCUCUGCUCUGCCCUGUGAGUGUUUGUUAGGGGCAGUGGGGUUCGUGCCCUUGUCCAGAGGAGGCUGGAGAAGGGGACACAAGUGGGGAGUAGACAGAGGGUCACCAGACAGAUGAGAGGGAUGGAACUCGGGGCUCGUUUGGGAAGUGGCUGGUGCUGAGCGUGGCUGGGGCAGGGCUCCAGGAGGGGCCAGGUGGGCCCGACCCCCCUUGUUUCCUGGCACAGCAGUCCCUGGAGUUCAGGCCAGGCCCUCAUGCCACCUGUCUGUGGACCGCUCCAACCUCGGGCACAUGAGGAGCCGCCCUCCACAGGUCUGGGGGCAAAGGAAGGUUUUGAAUUGGGAGCCCAGGCUCAGUAGGCCCCUGCCGUCUCCCCCAGAGGUUGUGCCUCAGGCUAGGCCGGCUGGGCUGCAAGGUGGGAGGGCAUCAGUGCCCCGGGAAGGCCCCAGUCCCCCAGGGCCACCUCCAGAGCCUUAGACGGGACAAGGCCUCUGGAUGCCCCUGCUGCUGGGAGCCUGGGCGGAAGAAGGUUCCAGAAAGGGACCACCUGCCUGUCUCUGGCCCAUGCGCAGGGCAGGCGCUGUGCUUCUCUCCCAGUGGCUGUGCCUCCUCCUCCUCCCAGCCCCACCCCCUCUCCCGCCCGUGGCCUGGCGGUCUUUGUCUUCCAAGCGCUCUGCAAAAUGGCCGCCUGACCCGCCGCCAUUUUGUAGCUGAGGUGGCAGCGGCCUUGGCGAGGCCUGUGAGGGAGGACGGCCAUGGCCCGCCUGCCUGCCCUGAGCAGCCUGGACAGAGCCCAGCACCGGCCCCCGCCCGGCCUGGCCUUGGCCGUGGCCGCCCCGGGCUUGGCACCAGCCAGCCCUUGGCAAGGCGGCCCGAGAGUCCUGGUCCCUCACCCAGCCCUGCCGACCCUGAGGCGGCCUUGCUGAGCAGACGGAGAGGCCUUGAGCCAGGGCCAGGCGGGUGCAGCCUCGCGGGUGGGGGAGUCUGGGGACUCCCUGCACCUCUGCAGGGUGACACCUUCAGGCCUUGACCACUUUGCCUGGGCACUCCUGGCCUGGUCUGGCCCGGCCGGGGGUGGGUCUCUGAGUGGCCAGCCUGGCUUCUGGCCUAGAGAUGGGCACCACUAUCCUCAGGAAGCGGGCAGGGCCCCACUCUAGCCAGGAUUCCCCUGUGGUGGUGUCAGCCAAGGUCCGUGACACACGGAAGUGGAGGACCUGCCCCCCCCCCCCCGGGAAGUGGCAUAUUCCCCAAGGGACAGGCAGCCCUGGAUGGUGUCCAGGAAAAUCCUGGGGGUCAGAGGCUGCAGAGCAGCAUCAGGGAGACGCUGGGUGUCGGCCGUGGGGGACAUCGUGCCCUUGGCCUGGGCAGGUGGACCUGGGGGAGCCCUGUGGGGUUGGCCACACGUCGGUGCCUGCGAUCCCUGCAAUAGCGUCCCCUGGAGGGCUGUGCGCCUCCUGGAAGAAGUUGGGAGAAAUCUCUGCGUGAAGCAGGGAAUAGCAUUUGAUAAAAGUGUGUGUGUUUUCUAGGGGUCAGUGCGGGUCCUCUGGGCGUCAUGGGGGGGUUGCCGGGUAGGCCCCACAGUGGCCUGUGUUCUCCACGUGGCGUGGGUCAGUUCUGCACUGGAGGAGACCCUUCCCCAGACACCUGCUGGACACCCAGCCAAGCCCUUGAGGCCUGGGAAUGUCUCUGGAUGCCACCCCACACCCCUACCAGACUCCUCUCCCUGCGGCUCCUGGACAGAAGGAACAUUCCGUCACCAUGAAGCCAAGUUUGCCCAGGCCCUGCCCUUGCCCUGGGGAAACCCAGCUGGGGAUGGGAAGGAGGAAUGCUGCCCGCCUGCCUGCCUAGACCAGAGUGGCCCCACAUGCCAGGCUAGGCCCGCAGCCUCCCAGGGCACAUGGGAGCUCCAGGCUUCCCGGCAGGAAAAGCCCCCCCAACCCGCAGAAGGGCCGGUCCCGGGGCGGGGGCGAGGAGGGAAGUUGCUGCUGGGUGGGUGACCUCGGGGUGGGGUUCAGGCUGGGGUAUUUUUAAUGAUGUGGCUGCAUCUGGUCACCGCCCCCCCCACCACCCCCCAUUCUUUCCUGUCCUCCCCACCUUGUGACCCAGACUGUGGCUUGAAUUAAGAAUGUUUUCAGAUAAGUACACGCCUUUGAGGUUAAAACUAUGCCUAAUGAUUAAACACCAGACGGAGAUCGCCACGGGAGAAGGGCAGGCUCUGCAUUCCUGCUUUUCCCCUUUGGACUCCAAGCGAACCUGUUUGUGUGAUCUGGAGCACAACAGCCCUGGGGGCCGACGUCCUGACCCAUCCUACGGAGGAGGCAGCUGAGGCCCAGAGGAGUUCACCUGCCCCAUCUCAGACCCGUCACUGAGGGAGACAGAGGCAGGUCAGAAUGAGGCCUGGAGGCCCCCAGGCCUGUGCCUCGUGAAUGCCAGCACAUCUGCAGGGCAGGGUCCUCCCCCGCCAGCACCAGCUCUCGUUAUCUUGGGUGCUGGUUAACUCUCAUGGGCUGCCACACUCACACCUGUGGCCACAAGGAUGGCACCUGCUGGGCCUCUGGCCAUGUUCUAGGUGCAGGACAUGUGGCCACAGUGGGCCUGGCCCCAGCCGUGAGGAGUGGGCAUUCCCCGAGCCUGUCCACCACUGAGAACUUAGUGGCUGGGAGAGAACAGGAAAGCAGGAAGCUCUACAGGGCACAGACUCUUAACAGUGGAGACCCGAACCCGGAGCACGCGGGUGUCAGUUUUGGGGAAGAGACAGGGAGGGUGCUGACAAGGGGCCAGUGAGGGGACCUUGGGACCCUGGCCAGCCCUGAAAGGAAGGCAGGUUGGGUGCAUGCCCCACCGUGGGGCACCCCUUUCCCACCUGCGUGAGGUGUGCAGGGCCGGGAGGGCGGGGCUGAGGAGCACAGUUCCAGCUCUGGCUUUGCCUUGGCGUCCCCGUAGCGUGCUGUUGGGGACCGUGAGGCAGCUGGGUGGCCCAGCUGUAUUGCAGCCUGGGGCUAGAGGAGAGAUCAAUAACCCUUACCCGUGCCAUCUUGAUUUAAGUUUGAUGUUUCUAGAUCAUGGGCCUUUCUGCAUUAGUUUUUGUUUUUUUAAUUUAAUUUCGCAGUCAGACAUUUCUGCUGAUGGCUGGGUUUUUGGUCCCUGUAACAUGCCUCCCAAGCCUUGCCCUGGUCCCCGCCCUGCUCAGCUGAGCCAGAGCCGCAGGCUGCCCGAGUCUCGUUAGCUUUCUUGGCCGUGUUUGUGGGAGGCCCGCCUCCCGCCCCAGCCCCCGCACAGCACCCCUCCCGGUCUUUUCCCAGACCCCAUUGUUGGCACGGCUUGCUGAGCAGAGACACUGGCCGCUUUAUGGGGAGAAACCCAAUCAGGGUGCUGGGGGGCUCUUUCGGGGGGGGUCCAGCUCCCAGUGGCCCCGAGCCAAGCCCGAGGUGACUUCGGGGUGACACCGUCUGUCUGCCUCACUUGCUCCAGACAUCCGCCUACCCUGAAAUGGCCACCUGCCCACUGAGGCCUCCGCACACCUGUCCCGGCCGGCCUGGCCCCUCCCCCGCCCAUGGGCAGACACCGUGGGGCCAGGGCAGCGCCCCAGAGGUGGCAGCUGGCAGAUGGCAGAGCGCCUGCUGACUGCUCACUCCCCGUCAGCUCUGCUCCAGGAGCGCCAUUCACACUGCGUGGCCCGCUCAGCCCUCCCCCAGGCUGGCUGGGAAGGGUCUCUCUGGUCUGAAGCCUCCCGAGCAAGGGGAGAUUCCUGCCGCCUCCCCAGGCCCGAGGCCUGCGCUCACCCCCAGGGCUGCCGGGAGACCAUCUCUGUGCACACCCCACAACAUGCACCUGGGGCCUUCUCCCCACCAGCUCAGAAAUGACUCUGUGAGGGGGUCACCAGUAGAAACAUCAAUCUUUCCCCACCCGGCACCCAAAACAACCCUGGUUGUCGGCUGGAGUCCUAUUCCGGGCUAGUCCUCUUGCGGUGGGGGUGGAGCCCGUGAGGUCCUGGUCCUGCGGAGCACAGCAGGGUUGGGUGUGCAGGAAAUGUGCCAGACACCCUCCUCGGAGUCCCUGGGAGUGGGCAGUGCCACACUCAGGCUCCCUGACCACUGCAGGCUGGGGUGGGCCAGAUGUGAGUCCCAGAGCCUGCGGGGCAGAGCCGAGACUCGUCAGGGAGCUCAGAGCCCUCUGGGGAAAGGAGCAGGAGAGCAGGGUGGUUGUGCCUGGCAGAGGGAUGGGCCAGGGCAAUGCUGGGAGCAGAGACCUGCCCGGGGCAGUUGCUGCUCUGGGAGGGAGCCAGGGCUGCGGGCACGCAGGGGAGGGGCAGAGACGGUAGAAAGGGUGGCAGCAGUGGUAGACGGACUGGCUGGCUGGGAGCUCAGGCAGGGCUGGUGCUCAGGGAGGAAGAGGGAAGGGCACCUCCCACCCAGUGUCCCCACAGGCCCCCCAAUAGCCUGGUGGGUAAAUUUCCUGAUCCCCAGCAGGGCUGCCCUUCCUCAAGGUCACACCGUACAGGGCUGCGGGGAACCAGGGUCUGUCUGCUCCCUUCCAGCUCUUGGGCUCAGCCCUAUGGACCCCCAUUCCCUUCCUGCCUGGAUGUGCCUCUCUGGCCUUCGCACCCUGUGCCCGUCCUGCAAGGGCACUCUGGCCAGAAUGGGCCAGAGUGAGGUAAAAUUGUGAUUCACUGAACAAGCCCUUGAGGGGUCCCUGCAGCCCCAGGCUGGAUCCUGUGAGCCCUUCCCGGGGGGUUCUGCUCGUGAGGAGACCCCAAGCCUUCCUCUUCCUGGGUCCCAGGAGAAGCCACAGCCCCCGGGAGCCUCAAUGUCCUACUCAGUGCAGUGGGGAUUUAACCCCUCCCUCCAGGGUCCAGCCACCUGCUGACAGGCCACGCGCACAGGAAAGCAGCACCAGGCUGUCCCUCCACGCAUCCUUCCACCCUCCCCUGGGGCCUGGAGCAUCCAGGUACCAGCCUGGCAGGGUACGGGCUACCCAGCGGGGGAACCUGGCCACUGACCACACAAGGAUAGGCCUGGGUCUCGGUCAUCAGUGACCUGGCAUUGUCCAACCGACACAGGGCCGGCCACGGAGGCCAUUCCAUCCAGGGCCAUUGGGAUGUCUGGGCAAGGCCCAAGGUCACAACGGGGUUCAGGGCUGGGCGAGGCCACAUCUCUUCCAGAGCUGACACUUGUCACUUUUGUUUUUAAAACCAAACAGGUCAAGAAGUGGUGCUGACCUGGGAGCCCCUGCCUGCGGCCAGCCUUCCUCGCAGUGAGCUGGGCCUCCUGCCAUCCUGGCUCUGGAGGUAGGAGCCAUCGUGAGAGCCAGGACACUGCCGGUCCUCUCCGGGCCCCGCCCUCAGGCACAGAGGUCCUUAGAUGGGGACCUUCGCCCAGGCUGUGCCCUCCCCUGAAGCUAUGUCUUUUCUUGUCUUCCCAUCACUCUCCCUGCACUCCCCCAGGUGGCUCACCUCAUCUGCCCACUUUGCUCCAGUGGCCCUCGGGAGGGAGUAGGUGGCAAUCCCCGGAGAGCAAGCAGACCCCUCCCCCACCAGCUUCUGAGAGCAAAGACAGAGAUACAGCCCAGAGACACAGCAGCGCUGAGCCUCAGUUUCCCCACUAUGACGUGGGAUCCAUGAUCUCAGCCUCACCAGGGCUGUGAGGAUUACAUGGUCCAGCCCAGCCUAGUGCCUGCCUGGAAUAGGCAGCCUGCUCAGGACAGGCUGUGGCAGGAGGGCUGGGGUUGACCCUCCAAGUCCACUCUGGCGCAGGGGAGCUGAGAGCAGCACGGGGUUUAACUUGGCAGGAAGCAGAAUGUUCGGACGUCACUCUGCUUCCCCCCGGCUGUGUGACCUUGAGAAGUUCAUCUUGCUUCUCUGGGCCUCGGUCUCUUCACCUGUUAGAGGGAUUGACAGGCGUGCCUGCCUCUUCAGCUCUUCCCCGGGCUCCCCCAGGAAGGUGGUGGCCACAGCGAACGUUUGUUGAGGCUGAGCCUGCGCCAGGCCCGGGAUAGGUGGGGCUCAGAGAGGCCCGUCUCUUGCCACGUUUCCCUGCUACGGGGGCCCUAAGGCCCUCUCAGCGCCCCUCAGCCCUCUUUCCUCCCCUACUCCAGGAGGUGCCUCCGGAAGCCAUGGAGUCCCACCUCAGCACCGAGACCGACUGCCCUUUGGGGUGAGGUAGUAGGUUGUAUAGUUUGGGGCUCUGCCCUCCUAUGGGGUAACUAUACAAUCUACUGUCUUUCCUGAAGUGGCUGUAAUAUCUGCGGUGGACACAGCGUCUGGGGCCUUGGCUGGGGAGGGGCAGGGGUGGGCUUGGGGGCAGGCUUGGCAGCAGUCAGCGGUAGGAGCUGCCUACACGAAGUCUGACAGGCCCAGGCUGCACUUGCUGUGUGACCUGAGACAGGCCCCUGAUCUCUCUGGGCCUCAGUUUCCUCCUCUGUAAAGCGGAAGCAAAUGAGGAUGGAAGGAGACGCAGUGUGGAGCGUCCAGGGCAAAGGACAGCUGAGCCGACCCCACCCUCUGCUGCAGCCACACUGAGGGUGGCGACCCACGUGGCUGUUUGUCCGACCUCUGUCCCCCAACCACCCCCCACAUCAGUUCAGGCUCAUGGGUGGCCCUGAGCCGGAGACUGGGCGGUAUUCUCCGCUAAGCACCAGGAGAAGGCCGUGAGUGUGGGCCUUGCCCACCAGCCCAGGCACCCAGCACAUGCCCCAGCCUGGCCAGCUCAGUGGCAGGGCCUCUGCCUGUGGAGGAAGGCUCAGGCCCCUUUCCCGAGCAGGAAUUGAGAGCGACGGCUCUGCACACUCCCUGGGCCCCACAUGGGCACAGCCUGAAGGCAGAUGGUGGCUCCUCUAUACCUGGGGAAACUGAGGCCCAGAUAGCCAGGUCUCAGGUCCUGAGACCAGCCAGCAGCAGCUGCCCCUUCCAGGGGUGCCCUCUCCACUGUCCCUCCUGCCCUGAGCCUGCCCAGCCCCCCUGCUCUGGUGGCUGACGACCACCGGGUGGGGGCGGCGCUGGGCGGGGUUGGUGGGCCCUCCCGCAGGGCAAGGCCGGGCCUGGCGGGGUGAGGUAGUAGGUUGUGUGGUUUCAGGGCAGUGAUGUUGCCCCUCAGAAGAUAACUAUACAACCUACUGCCUUCCCUGAGGAGCCCAGUGACGCGACCCCACGGGAGGGCUGUCCCCAAACUCAGUGACGGGCAGGGGGACCUAAGCCAAAGAUGGGCGGGCAUCUGGGGCCUGGGUGCAAUAAAGCUGCUCUGGCCAUGAA